rnacentral:lncRNA from 1 species
UGGUUAAAAGAUAGAACAGUCUAGCCAAGUGCCAUGUCUCUUAUUCUUGAUCAGCUAUAGCUCUAGGGUUUUUGCAGAUUUUCAAAUAAAACUCAGAGAUUCCUUGUAUGAUUCUCUCAGAUCUCUCUUUUGUGGUAUUUCUGGAUCCUUACCAAGGCAGUGAUGGUAUAUGCCUUCUCUCAAAAUAUGUAGUAUUUGUGGUAUGAGGCAUAGUGACAUUGCCUUCUCUCUCACCCUACUCUAAUAAGGCUUUAAUAUCUGGAGCUCAUAGGUGGGAGAUAAAGUAUACAUACUUACAAGACAUUUAUUGCAUAGUCAAACCAUAGAUCCAAAGAAACAAAUCAAUAAGCCAAAUCAAGAUGUGCAUGUGUGGCGAAUGAAUGGUGUAUGGUGAUGAUGGUAACAAUGGUGAAAACAAUGGUGGUGGAAGUCUAAUUCUACUUUGCUCUUUGAGGGGAUACAUACCUUCCUUGCUUUUGAAACUUUAUGAGGAGAAUGAGAUGCUCUUCUUUUUCUUGUCUCUCAGGUGGGUAUCUUGUACCCCUAAUUCUACUGUCGGACACCUGUCCAUUUUUACCUCUCGUCUCACUUUUUCUUUUCUUUCGAGGUUCCGAGCACUUGCUCCUUUUUAUUUCCUCGUAUUUCUCUUCCUUUUUUUCUCUUUUUUUCUUUCAGAGCAUUCAUCAAUUGAGAUAAUAUAGCAAGUGGUAGUAAUAAGAUAACUUGAGCAUUUAUUUCACAAGGGGAAACAGAAAUAUUUUUGGUUAUUCUCUCCCGGAUUAGGAGUAGAAUAUUUUUGGGUGAUUCUGGAGAUGGAAUGGGUGAAUAUAUGUGGAUGGUACUUCCGGAGUAGAAGUAGCAUAUAUGAGUGAACGUGCAAGUGAAAUCUUGAUUUAACCACAUGACAAGCUCCUAAGGGUCUACACAGCUUGACCACACUCAAUGCUCAUAAGGAGUAAAUAAUAAAUGUGUGGCUCAUAAUCUAGCAAGCAUGUAUAUAUGGCUGUGGUAGGAAUUUAAACUCUCAUCAUACAGGAACUCAUCAUGCAACAUUUUAAAGAUUUUCAAAGAUAAAAUUCUCCAGAAUUCUAGCAUCUCUAGGAACAGAUAAACAGCAGCUCAACCUUCCCAUAUCAUAUCCGUUAACAACUUAGACUUCAGAUCAAGUUUUUAUCCCACAAGUUUAGGUCUAGAGCAAGCUUUAAAUUAUAACAGUUAUGUCUAAACUUGAGAGAGAACUUAAAAUUUGCAAAUUAGGCAGAGCAACUAUUUAUCAUAUCCAUGCUUAAGUUUUAUUUUAGAUACAGAUUAGCAUAGCCACUUUAUUUAUUUAUUAAACACACUAAGCAAAAUAUAUAUAAGCAUAAAAUCUUUAUUUGGUUUUCCAUAGUUAUGUGUAUUUAUAUUCUAAUAUAGUAUAAGUAUAAAGAUAGAUAGAAAUACUUAUCGAGAUAAAUGGGGGUGCUCUCCCCCAAGCUGAAUUUUGACGUAAUUUCCCUUGAUGUAGCUAGCAGGUGGCAGAGGUGUAUUUGAAAGUCAGCAGCAUUCUGACAGCGAUUAGAAUGUCCUCCGUCUGCUAGUCUUCUUGAUUCUUAAAUUCUGUGGAGCUCAAAUAGACAACAAAGCUUGUGGAACUGAUUAAGUGUUAGCAUAAAUAUCUAGCCUUUAUAAUGUUGAGACUCCUUAAUAAAUAUUACUCCCUGUUUUUAUAUUUUUGUUUUUAUAAAGGAAAAAAAUAUUUAUUUUAUUUUUAUGCCACCACAGUGAAUGUACUUAUAGGUUUUAUGCCACUCGUCUACUCACAUGGGGCUUACUGUUUUUCACAUUUUUAUUUUCUUUUUAAGAUAGUAUGAACAUGAUUAACUAAGUAAACUAUUUGAAAUAAUUGAAAGAAAAAGGAUAACUACCAAGUUUACCUCUUGGCAAGGCGUUCGGUGUUUUUAAGUCCUUCGAACGGGACCCUCCAUUUUCUUAAUCGUCCUGAGGUUCGUUGGGUGGCGUAGUCGGUACUUCCAGCAGCGCCCCCUCUUCAUUUAUAGUUAUCUUCAUUUUCCACACCUGACUUGGUGCUUCGAUCUCCUCUGGAUAAUUCUGUUUAAACUCAACGUCUUCUGAUCUUACAACUUCUCCUUCAUAGUCUGCCCAUCCGUCCUUGAUGAUCUGCCUCCUCUGGUUGCGGUUGCGUCUCUUUCUUACCUGCUUAGAUUCUUCAAUGAUAUAGUUAGGGUCAGUAAAAUAACGGCGUACCUUCUCUGAGGGGAAGUGCAUAUGGACUUCUCCAGUUCCAAUGUAGAUAAUUGCUUUAACGGUGCUGAGGAACGGUCUUCCAAGGAUGAUGGGUGGAUCAUACUCGUCUUCUCCCAUAUCAACAACUUGAAAGUCUGUGUAGACAAAGUGAUCGUCUAUUUUGACUGGGACAUCAGAUACUAUUCCUUUAACUUCUCGAAAUGUCUGAUCUGCCAUAUGGAGUUGAAUGUAUGUUGGUCUUAGGGGCAUGGUUCCGAACAAGAGCCGAUAGGUGACUGCGGCCAUUAUGUUGACGCCCGAUCCGGUGUCGCAAAACGUUUUGUAGAAGUUGUAUCCAUUUAUUGAGCAGUAAAUGCUUGGCAUUCCUGGGUCGUCCUUCUUGGUCAAAACGGUGACUUAAGGUGGUGAUCUUGGCUUCCAUGAACUACAGUGACCAUCUUAGCUGACUCGGUCCACACUUGCUUGUUCCUGUUUCUCCUGUUGGUCCUCUUCCUUGAUUUACGUCUGGAUUGAUCUUGAAUUUGUGUAGUCUUGUUCUUGAAGAAAAAUGUCUCCUUCUUCCCUUUGACGUAGAAACUGAUCUUGGCAGCACUAGCGUAGAUGAUAGCUCCCGUGGUGUUCAAGAAUGGCCUCCCUAAGAUAAUAGGUGCUCUCUCAUCAUUUCCGGUCUCUACCACUACGAAGUCUGCUGGGGCAUAUAAGGUACCAACUCGGACACAAAGGUUCUUCACUAUUCCUUUUGGAAAAGUUAUCGUCUGAUCUGCAAACUGCAAACACAUGGUUGUUUCUAAUAAAGGAUAUGUAAAGAAUUUUUCAUAGAGUACCCUGGGUAUAAUGUUGACACUGGAGCCAAAGUCACAGAGUGCUUCUGGAACGUCCACCAUGCCAAUGGAGAUCGGGAUGACGGGGCGUCCUGGAUCGUCUCUCUUGACCGGCAGAAGGUCAGUAGAGAAUUCAUUGACGGGGUUACUCCAAUUACCUGCAUCAAACAUGUCUACAAGAUUUGCACAUUCUAAUCCUUCCGGUUGUGAUGGUAUACCGGGGUUAGUAGUAGGAACAGCAGCAGCUAUUUGAUUUAACUGAGAUUCAAUCAUUUUAUUAAAGCUAAUUUGAUUCUUGAUGGCAGUAGAAAAAUUAUCCAUUCUAUUAUUUAUAUUUUCUAGCAUUUUAUCAUUAGAUGCCAAUUUCUUAGAUAGAUUAUCCAUUAGCUUUCCUUGAUUAGACACUAACUCUCUCAAAGGUGGAAAAUUAUUAUUGUUGUUGUAAGAAUUGUUACCUUGAUAAUUACUUGAGUAGUUAGGUCUCUGUUGAUUCCAACCUUGAUUUUGUUGAGGACGGUUGUAGUAGUAGUAGUAGUUGUUGUUGAUGUAGUUCACAUCCUCAAGCAUCUCAGGGCAGUGGUUGCCUGAGUGUCCAGUGUCUCCACACUCCUCACAAGUCAUGUGAGAGUCGUAGAUGUGCAUAACUUCUUUCUUGUCUCCAGCUCUAUCGUCGAGCUUCUUCAUGAGUAGGUCUAGCUUUGCAGACAGCAUGUCUACCUCCUUCAGCUGAUGCAUACCUCCACCUCUCUUGCGUGUCUGGGUCCUCUCUUCAUUCCAGCUUUGGUUGGACGCCAUCUUCUCCACAAGAGCUGUGGCUUGUGGUAUAGUAAGUGAUAAGAAUGCUCCUCCAGCUGCAGCAUCCAUGGUCUCUCGGGCACUGUUACCAUCGAUCUCUGCAGCAGGUCCAGUGCGGAUGUUGUCCGUAGUGGGAGCUGAGAACUCGCGGAUCGAUUUGUUCGCCAUGGCCUCGAACUCUGAAGACAAGUUCCGAUGAUCUUCUUGAUUGGAUGAAGCUUCUUCGUGAAGUGUUGAUGAUCUCUUCUUGAGCUUGGCCCUCGUCUUCUUGAAUAAUGCUUCGGGAUUGUCAACAAAAUUUUCUAGAAGAUGUCUUCUAUUCAUACAUUCCCCUGCAUAAGAUAAAAUAGAAAAAUAUCGGGGUAAAACAGUAUGAGAGAAUAGAUAAGCUCAAUCAUAUUAGUGAUGCGAAUGAUAACUCAAAAUCUUUUAUUCUAUUCCUGAUUAGUAAUCAACCUUCCCCGGCAACGGCGCCAAAAAUGCUUGUUGGGUAUUCUUAACAUCAUUACCAAAAGUAGACUAAGUUCUCUAAAUCUAGUAACGGUGCCAAAAAUGCCAAACCUAUCCCUCAUACCACUUAAGCCAAGUUGUCAUCCCCAGCAUGAUAUAAGAGACGCGGUAUUGAAAUAUGCAAUUGCUCUUCUAAAUAAAUAAUGAAUGGGAUCUGCAAGCGCACAGAUUAAUACCGAUGCAGCAUUUUAACCGGGAAGUAUUUCAGGUAUCGUUAUUUAUAUUUUUACCACUGGGAAGGGAUUAGCAAUCAUCACUAUUGAUUACAGAAUAGAAUAUGAGAUUGAGCAUCUAUCAUUGCAUGUAUAUUUGAGAACAUUUAUCUAACUCUUCAUACAGGGAUAAGUGUCACAUAAAAGAUAUAUGAAAUAAUAAUAGUGACAAGGAUAACUAAUCUGAUCUAGCCACAUAAUAAAUAUGAUAAGCACCUCAAUUAGAUACUCUAGAAAGUCAUUAGCAUGGUAUUAGAACGAACUACAAGAAUAUUCCCUAAGUUAUUCUCAACUAUAUAGUUUAGCAUUAUCAUAGUUAGUGCAAGCAUACUUAGCAAUCAUUGUGAGACAAGACUACGCCCAUGCAUAGUGAUAUUAGCAAGGUAAAUGAGAAACAUAGCAAUCACUCCCCUGUAAUAAUAUUGCUCUGUCAGCCCAAUACACGAGAGGGGGACUAUAUAAGAAUCAAUGAAGCUGUCACUAUCACGAACCACCCCACGAUCUGGCAUAUUGGGUACAAUCGCAGAUAAAUACGGUAUAAGCACCACGCCUACACAAUAUCUAUCAUUUACCCAUGGAUCCGAUGGAUAAACGCUAUACGAUCCUAAGCAUGUAUAUAGAUCCAAUCUAACUAAGCCAAGUACAUAACUAUGAUAAACUAAGAACAAUAUAAUCUUGAAUAUAAACAAGUAGAGCAAAGUCAUAAGCAAUAUAUUGAAGUAGAACAAAGUCAUAUUCAUAAUAUUGAAGAACAAAGAUAAUUAGAAAGCAAUUAGAAGCACAAUUAGAGAAUUACCAAGAAUCCUCUUGACAGAUCCGGAAACCAAUCGAAGAUUGACUCCUUCUAGUUCUAAUCCUAUGUAGCUAUGCUAAUCUAGAUAUCCAAUUGACGUGGUGGCUCUAAUCUUGAUCAGAGGUUUCUUCUCCCUUGAUGGAACAAUGAAUUAGGGUUGAGAGGCUCUCUCCUCCAGGGGCUAGGGGGUCUGGUUUUAUAGUCCCUCCAAGUGAAUAUGGGCCAUUGGAUCAAACCGACAUAGAUUGUAUGGUUUAGAUUCCUCCUUUAGGUCGGUGGAGAUCUCCCGCAAAGUAGAGUCCUGAUUGGACUCAGGGGCAGGGCGGGCGCCCUGACCAACUGGGCGGGCGCCCAGGGUCAAGCCCCGUUUCGCCUCCGCUUCGGUCUCGUGGCUUCUGGAGUCUUCUAGAUGUAGGAUAAUUGUGCAGCACGUUAAUAUCUUUACGUAAUCCCAACGUGUGGGCCUUUCUUCCAUAUUUCCUGAUAACCCCCUGCAGAAAUAGACAAACACCAAAACUCGUGGAAUUCUGUCAGAUAAAACCCUAAGUCUAGAUCUUGAUUUCAUUUGGAUCCUUUUCUUUAUUUAUUUGAUAAUUAAAUUUGAUACUUAAGGACCGUCAACAGUGCCCUAGAAGAUCCGCGUACGCACUUAACGAAGUGCUCACGGAGGAGGCAUAAGUGACGGCUGUGCUCUUAAGCCCAAAAGGGAGCUCGGAAGGCACCGCUGUCUUUCCUCCAUCCGUGGGUGGAGGGUGAUGAGAAUUCGAGGCCCCCUGGUCCCUCUUCUGAGGAGGGGGCGGGAGUCGUGCUUUGCCCUUUGACCGGGGCGGAACAGGGGGUCGUAAAGAUCCCCUGUUGGUCCGUGGAGUGGAGCUCGAUGCUCCGCGGACCCUUCCUCUAGCACCUGUCGGGCCAGAGGAGUGGGCGAUCUGGUGAGGAAUAUGCGGGGGGAGGGCCGGAUGAACCCUUGCCUCAGUGGUAGGCUCAGAGAUGCUAGACCUCUGACGCCCCGGCCGGGCACCCCCUGCAUGGUGCCCCGAGCGCCUCCCGCGCACUGACUGUGGCGGGAUCGGCUCGGGGUGAGGCUCGGCGUCGCCACAUGGUGGGAGGAGGACCAUGUCGUAGCCGGAGCCAAGUGACAUGAACUCCAGACUCCCAAACAUCAUGAUGGUGCCGAGGCAAAGUGGGUGGAAUCCAUCAGCCAUCCGGGCUUUCCCCAAUAGGGAAAGGUGAAUGGAACGCAAAAGGCCCCUACCUGGCGCGCCAACUGUCGGUGUCUAGACUCGUCGUGUAGACACAAAUGAGUAUAAGUAUGCGUGUCACCCUAACCCAGAUGGUGGUGCAAGUGGAACACAAAGAGUUUAUACUGGUUCGGGCUAAGGAUGCCCUACGUCCAGUGUGAGAUCGGGGGGUCUGUAUUGCCUUGCACCCAGAGGUGCUUGUAGUAGGGGUGUACAAGCAGGUUGCGAGAGAGGGCUAAGUCCCAAGUCUCGACUUGUGCGUGGUGGACAGAGUGCUGCUUGCUACUCUAUGAGUGAACUCGCUUCGAGUUGUGGAGUGUUGAUUGCUCUGAGCGGUGUGUUGUUUUCCGUGUCUUGGAUGUGAGCUUUGGCUCCCCUUUUAUAGUCUCAAGGGGGGCGCAGGAUUUUACAUGUAUGAUUGUUGAUCUUCCUCCGGUGAGUGGUGAAACUACAUUCCCGACCCUGUAGAGGCUUGCCCACCCCAUCCUUGUGGCAUGGCUGAGAGUAUGGUUACUCCUGUGGAGGGUCGCCGAGCCCUGUUGAAGUCGUGGGGGUUGGAUCGGUGAUACUGUAGCUUGUCCUGUAACAGUGGGAGAAGACAACUAAUAGUGACACUGGUUAAUCUCUCCCAUUCCUCUUUUACUAUGAGGUGGUACACCACAGGGAAAGAGGUAAGGUGGCAUAGUAAAAGAGGUAAGGCUACAGUGGCCGGGGUGGUUGGAAUAGUCGCCACCAUGCCCUGCUGCGGUAUGGAAGUCGUUGCGUCUGUCACGUCGCGGGUACGGGCGCUGCAUGUGGGAAGCCUUGUUCUGAGACGGGGGCUCAGGCGAGGCGGUGUUGACGCCCGACCCCCAGAGGGGCCGAGCGAGGCGGAACUUGCACCCGAGGCCAAGGGGUCGGGCGAGCCGGGGCUAGCGCCCGACGCCAAGGGGUCAGGCGAGCCGGAGCCCGCGCCCGCGCCCGAGCCCUAGUUAUCGUGGCUGGUCUGCUUUGUCUUUCGCGUUUUUUAUUAUUCUGAUUUAGGUAUCCCUUUUUAUGGUACCCAACACCAUGAGUAUAAAAAAAGAAGCUAUUCCUUCCAAAUCAAUCAAAUUUCAAAGAACAAGUCUUGCUACAGAAAGCAUGAGAAGUGUAAGAAAAUAGGAUUGAUUAUAAAUUUAUCUCACGAUUACCACAUUAUUUAUGGAGAUCAACCCCCUACAAGCAAUAGAGGAGCGCUGCCUGCCUACCUAGAAUCAGCUAAGCUGACUUUGAAGUCAGCUAAGCUGAUUCCUACCUACUUUAAGUCGGCUAGGCCGACUCCCCAGUUGGCCAAGCUGACUACCCGUGCUAGUGCCCAAGUCGGAUAAUUCGGCAUCUGUUGUUGAUCAUGUUCUGGAGAUAAAGAGUAGUAUCAUGCAAAUCAAGAACAUACACUUCUCCAACAUGAUAAAAAAGUACAAGAUACAAAUAUUUUUCUCAAAUUCCAAUUCGGUCACACUAUAUCAAUUUCAACAUCUAUUAGAGAUAUCCUUGCUAAUUAUUGUAAUAGACCUAUUCAGAAUAGCAAUUUCUUUGUUGAUAAUAAAGUAAAUUUAGAUUGUAUCGGCUAGCACAUUGUUCCAUAUGGCAAGGCCGAUAGUGGUAGUUUGUCAAAGGUAAAGCUUCUCAGAAGCAAUCGCAAAAGUGUGGCAGAAUGGAUCGAUGCCAAAUCUGAUCCACCCGUUUACCUAGCUUUAAAGCCAACUCCACAAAAGAAUCAGCUAAGUAAGUCAAAGUAUACCUUUGACUUUAAUUUUUGUGAUCAUGUCUUCAAUCUCUUGCUCAAGAAUGAUUUUAUUAGAAUCAUUGAUCAUAAUGCUUUGCCAUCUAUUCAAAACUUAGAAGAGCUUACAUGUUGCAAUUGGCACAAUUCUUUUGAUCAUAAUACUUCUAAUUGCAAUGUGUUUCAUCAAGUGAUCCAAUCAGCCAUUGAUAAUGGACAAUUGAGAUUUUCUAAAGCUCAACAAAUGGACCAAUUGGAUUCAAUUAGUCUUGAUGGCAAACUGGUUUCGAAUUGGCUUGCAUUAGCUGAUUCACUCAAAGAUCAAGGCUCCAAUGCUCAAGAGAGAGAUGUUGAGCCCUUAAGUGAAGACAGAGUUGUUGUCCAAGAAUUACAAUUUAAAGAUAUUCUAGAGGAUAGCAAAGUGAUCAUAAUCCCAGAAAAAAUUGGGAGGCAGGUGAAAUCUCUCUAACUAGAGCAAAGGUCGAUUGAUCCUGUUGAGCAAGAAGAAUCAGCCAAGAAUUCUCCUUUAAAGCAUGUCUAUCAAGAUGGAGAUAAGUGUUGAUAUUGGUUACGCAGAUGAAAGAAUCAAAGAGAAAUAAACCGCAAGCGCACGGAUAUCGGUGAGCAGUUCACCUAGGAGAUAGUUCUAGAGUAUUGUAUUUCUUUUAUCCGCUAGGAGAAAGCGUGCGAUGACUAACCAAGUCUUUACUAUUAUCCCUGAGCCACACUUCAAGGUAGCAAAGAUAUAAGUGAUUAGAGAAGACUACUACGACAAUUUGGUUCCAACCUAUGGUAAGUUAUGAGACUACUGCUCCAUGGGAACGUAUCGUUGGGGAAGAGACACCACAUAGGUGUUGACACUUACUAACACCACUUGGAUACUAGGUUGUCAUCCCCAGCAUGAUGCCAGAGUGUACAAAGGUAUUUAUGAAUGUAAAGGCUCUCUAGAAAAUAAUCUAUUCUAUCCGCAAGCGCACAGAUAAAAUUCCUCAUUGUAGCAUUUCACCAGGAAAAGUAUUCCGGGUAUCGUUAUUAAUAUUUUGCUUAAGAGAACGGUGGAGGUAAAUAAAAUCUAUCAAGGCAUAGACUAGAGAUAAUCUUGCAAGAACAUGAUUACUAAUGAGAAACUCGUCACACAGUCACUUGCUUUGGCAGGGGGUAAGCCAUAAUAAUAAUGAUAAUGAAAUAUAAGCUCAUGGGUAAAUAACACAGCGAUUAGAAAAUAGACUACUCCUCAUAUAUGUAAGUUGACGUCGGAUUAGCUAGAGAAUGGAUUCUGAGUUAUCUACUACCUACUAAGUCACAAUCUACUCUAGUUAUCUACAAGAUCAUAUAUAGCAUAAAAGACUCUUCAUUCAUGUAUAAGGAACAUUGCUAAAGUAAAUCAGAACAUCGCAAGACUUACUCCGCAAUACAAAUUAUGCCUGUCCUAUCAACGGAGGGUGGACUAUAUAAGAAUCAACGAAGCUGUCACCAUCGCGAACUACCACAUGAUCUGGCCAAUAGGAUACAUUUGUAGGUAAAUAACAUCUAAGCACCACGCCUACAUGUGAUCUACCACUUAACUCCCACGUGUCAAGAACUAAGCGCUUUGCAAACUUAUACAUAAACUUAUUAUCAAUCAUAACUAUAUCAAAUAUAGAACUAGAGCAAACUAAGAACAUAAUAAAUAGAGACAUAAUGAAAUUAGAAUAAAGUAGUAGAGAAAGAUAUGAAAUAAUACCAAUCUUUAUUGAUGAAGAUCCGAAUCCAGAGCGCUAGGCUCUACUUCUCUAAUUCUAUCUAAUCAAUCCUAUAGAACUUGAAGGAACUAGGAGUAGCUAAUUCUAAUUCUCUGUGGGAGAGAAAUUCUUAAACCCUAACUUUGAUGGCUUCCUCUGAUAAUGAUUUCUCCUCUCCCCCUGGGGUGGAGAGGCCUUGCUUAUAUAGUCCCUUCAAGUGAAUUUGGGCCGUCGGAUCAAACCGACAUUGAUUGCCCGGUUUUCCUUGAUCCUUUAGGUCGGUGGAGAAUAAUCCGCGAGGUUGGUUGUGAUUGGCCCCGAGGCCAGGGCGGGCGCCCAAGGGGGGAGGGCAGGCGCCCUGCCGCCGGGCCUAUUCGGCUUCCCGUGGCUUCUGGACUCUUCUAGAUUAAGGAAAAUUACGCGGCACAUAAUUAUCUCGUUGUAAACAUGACAUAUGGGCCUUCUCUCCAUAUUUUCUGAUAACCCCCUGUAGAAAUAGACAAACACCAAAACUCGUGGAAUUCUGUCAGAUAAAACCCUAAUUCUGGUUGUCGGUUGCAUUUGGAUCCUUUUCUUUGUUUAUUUGUUGAUUAUAUUUGAUACUUAAGGACCGUCAACAAACUCCCCAAGCUUACCUCUUGCUCGUCCCUGAGCAAGGAUAAUCCUAGUGAUGGAUCAGAAGUUAUUGUCAUGCCUUUGAGCGUUGACAGUACACAUGCUUUUAAAUAAGGUCUCAUCUCUGAGUCAGAGUAAACUGUCAAUACUUAAAACUUACUCAUUUUACCUUUCACCAUGGGACUUGUAAUCGUCACUUCUGUCUUGAGCAGUUAAAAGAUAGAACAGUCUAGUCAAGCGUCAUGUCUCUUAUUCUUGAUCAGCUAUAGCUCUGGAUUUUUUGCAGAUUUUCAAAUAAAACUCAGAGAUUCCUUGUAUGACUCUCUCAGAUCUCUCUUUGGUGGUAUUUUUGGAUCCUUACCAAGGCAGUGAUGGUAUAUGCCUUCUCUCAAAAUCUAUGGUAUUUGUGGUAUAAGGUAUAGUGACAUAGCCUUCUCUCUCAUCCUACUCUAAUAAAGCUUUUGAUAUCUAGAGCUCAUAGGUGGGAGAUAAAGUAUACAUACUUACAAGAUAUUUAUUGCAUAGUCAAACCAUGGAUCCAGAGAAACAAGUCAAUAAGUCAAAUCAAGAUGUGCAUGUGUGGUGAAUGAAUGGUGUAUGGUGAUGAUGGUGAUAACAAUGGCGAAAGUCUAAUUCUACUUGUGCUCUUUUGAGGGGAUACAUACCUUUCUUGCUCUUUUGAGACUUUUUGAGGAGAAUGAGAUGCUCUAUAUUUUCUUUUUCUUUCCUCUAAGGUGGGUAUCUUGUACCCCUAAUUCUACUAUCGGACACUUAUCCAUUUUUACGUCUCGUCUUACUUUUUCUUUUCUUUCGAGGUUCCGGGCACUUGCCCCUUUUUAUUUCCUCGUAACCUUUCUCUCUUCUUUUUUUAGAGCACUCAUCUCCUGAAAUAAUAUAGCAAGCGGUAGUAACCAAGAUAUCUCGAGCAUUUAUUUGACAGGGGAAAACAAAAAUGUUUUUGGCUAUUCUCUCCCGGAUUAGGAGUAGAAUACUUUUGGGUGGCUUUGGAGAUGGUAAUGAGUGGGUAUAUGUGGAUGCGUACUUCCGGAGUAGAAGCAGCAUGUGUGAGUGAACGUGCAAGUGAAUCUUGAUUUAACCACAUGACAAGCUCCUAAGGGUCUAUACAGUUUGACCACACUCAAUGCUCAUAAGCAGUAAAAAGUAAAUGUGUGGCUCAAAGUCUAGCAAGCAUGUAUAUAUGGCUGUGGUAGGAAUUUAAACUAUCAUCAUACAGGAACUCAUCAUGUGAUAUUUUAAAGAUUUUCAAAGAUAAAAUUCUCCAGAAUUCUAGCAUCUCUAGGAACAGAUAAACAGCAGCUCAUCCUUCUCAUAUCAUAUCCGUUAACAACUUAGACUUCAGAUCAUGUUCUCUUCCCACAAGUUUAGGUUUAGAGCAAGCUUUAAAUUAUAACAGUUAUGUCUAAACUAGAGAGAGAACUCAAAUUUGAAAAUUAGGCAGAGCAACUAUUCAUCAUAUCCAUGCUAGAGUUUUAUUAUUAAGAUUCAGUUUAGCAUAGCCACUUUAUUUAUUUAUUAAGCACACUAAGCAAAAGACAAAUAUAUAUAUAUAUAUAAGCACUAAAUCUUUAUUUGGUUUUUCAUGGUUAUGUAUAUUUAUAUUUUAGUAUGGUAUAAGUAUAAAUGUAGAUAGAAAUACUUAGCGGGAUAAAUGGGGGUGCUCUCCCCCAAGCUGGAUUUUGACGUAAUUUCUUCUGAUGUAGCUAGCAGGUGGUGGAGGUGUAUUUGAAAGUCGGCAGCACCCUCACAGCGAUUAGAAUGUCCUCCGUCUGCUAGUCUUCUUGAUCCUUGAACUCUAUGGAGCUCAAAUAAACAACAAAGCUUUGUGAAACUGAUUAGGUGUUAGCAUAAAUACCUAGCCUUUAUCGUGUUGAGCCUCCUCAAUAAAUAUUACUCUCUUUCUCUCUCUCUAUAUAUAUAUAUUACAUUUUCAUUUUAUAGAGCAGAAAAAAUUAUUUAUUUUAUUUUUAUGUCAUCACAGUGAAUGUACUUAUGGGUUUUAUGCCACUUGUAUACUCACAUGGGGCUUACUAGUUUUUUAACAUUUUUAUUUUCUUUUUAGGAUAGUAUGAACAUGAUUAACUAAGCAAACUAUUUGAAAUAAUUGAAAGGAAAAGGAUAACUACCAAGUUUACCUCUUGGUAAGGCGUUCGGUGUUUUUAAGUCCUCCAAACGGGACUCUCCGUUUUCUCAGUUGUCCUGGGAUUUGUUGGAUGGCGUAAUCGGUGCUUCCGGCGGCGCCUCUUCUUCGUGUCUAACUAUCUUCUCUCUCGACACCUGACUCGGUGCUACGGUCUCCUUAGGACAAUUCUGUUCAAGCUGUAUGUCUUCAGACCUUUCCACUUCUCCUUCGUAGUCUUCCCAUCCGUCUUGAUGAUUUGCCUCCUCUGGUUGCGGUUGUGUCGUCUUCUUCGUGUCCUGACCUGCUUAGAGUCUUCAACUAUAUAGUUAGGGUCAGUAAAAUAGCAGCGUACCUUCUCAGAGGUGAAGUGCAUGUGGACUUCUCCGGUUCCAAUAUAGAUGAUUGCUUUACGGUGCUGAGGAACGGUCUCCCAAGGAUGAUGGGUAGAUCAUACUCAUCUUCUCCCAUGUCAAUAACCUUCAAGCCUCUUGGUAGUAGUCGUUGUCAAAGCAUAAGAGGUGUUGGAGUACCGUCCUGCAUUGAAUUGGGGCUGGGGCCUAGACCUUGAGGCUCCAUAUGGAUCAGUGGAAUACCUGCCCAUACUAGAAGGUGGGUUUGUCCACUGGUGAUCUUGGCACUCUGGACAUGUCUCCUGUGUCGGCUCCUGCGGCUGAGCAUGUCGAACCCACGGGUCCCGAGGGACUCGGGGGGUUGUAGUCGCGGUAAUGCAGGUACGUUGCUUCUUCCGGCCCAGGAUCAGCUCCAUACCAGGUUCGUUCUUGAUGGGUGGUCAUCCUUUUAGAUGCCACUCGCUGUGGAGCUCUCUGGUUUACCGGUGUCACUGUUUCUUGUAGCAGGAUAGGAUCAAGAAUGGGGGUGUGAAUGAAAUCCUUAUUCUUCAGCUGCUGGAAAACUUCCUUCUCCCUGCGGGUCUUCAGUCCAAGGUCUCCUGUCUUGAGGAGGACCUUGACUCGUGGAUCAGAUGAAGAUGACAGAGCUUGCGUGGGCGUCGGGUCGAUGCUUAUCUCUGACUGGUGCGAGGAGUGUCGGGACAAACUCCUCGUACCUAUGUUCUUAAGGGUCUUGCCCGCGUUCUUUACCUUCUUGAACAUCCUGUAGACAAAAGUUGACACAAACACAACUAGUGGAAAAUGUGAAAGAAAAAUGUUAGUGGUGAGCUGUCCGAAAUGUUAGUAGUCCAGGGGUUAGUCGUCAAGACAAGUUUUUAUUUUGGCAGCGCCUCCCCCUAAACAACCUUCUGCUCUGGACAGCGGGAUUACCACUUACUAAUGAACCUUGCUCUCUUACUCCAGGGUUACCAAACUCUCUUUCACUCUUCUCUUCCCCUCUACUCUCCUUCUCACUUCACUACAAGAGAUCCUUCUCUGGAAACUGAAACUUGCGUGGUUUUCUGGAAUGCAUGUGUGAAGAAGUUGGAGGCAGGAGGUGGCUUUUUAUAGGCUGAAGGAAGGAUAGGGCAGGCGCCCUCUGUAGGUGGGUGGGCACCCACCUUUGGUGGCCAUCCUGGCCGGCCUUUCUCCACUCCCUCCAUUGCUUAGCUCUUACGCAGAAUAAUGUUGAGUGGGUGGUGGUUGGUUGGUGGAAAAAUGCUGGUGAGUGGAAACAUGUUGGUGGAUCACAAGAUGUGGUGUAUGACAUAUGGGUGUGUGGGUCAUGCUUCUAGAAGGUUACUAUAAUAUAAUGUAGGAAAAUCUAUGAGAAUUGAAACUUACGAUAAUGGAAAAUAUUUUUGUGCCUCCACAAUAAUUAAUAAAUAUGGGUUGUCAUACACCAUAAAUAUUAUUUUUAUGGGGCUUUUGAUUAUUAUAAUAAUGCUAUGAAUAAAUAUGGAUAAUGCAGGAAUUAAAUGAGAGAAUUAAUGAUGCAGAUAAAUACCGAUUUACCUCCCUGCGAGGGUUUGGGAUUUUUAGGUCCCCCAAGCUGGACCUCCAAAUCUUUUAAUCUUCUGAAUUACCUUCCUCUAGAGAUGGUGUCUCCAGUGGUUCUUCUUUACUGGGGGUUCUCUGGUGGAUCUCCCUCUUUUUGUAGUUAUAUUGCUCUUGUAGAAAUAUCUUUAUUAAUGUAGGUUGCUUGAAAUUACCUGAUUUCAUACCUUGAUUAUUGAGAUGUUCGUAUGCUGCCUCAAUGGUCUUCUGAUCUUUUUCAAGUAUUCCUUCUGUUUGGUGAUGAUGUUGAACUUUAUCUUGGAACCAGCUUGGGUCUUCUGCUAUCUUGUCCAAAAGUAGUUCUGCUUCUCCAAGUGUAAGUUCAAAAAGUGACCCUCCAGUAAUUGCAUCUAGGCUCUCACGAGCCUUUUGGGUUAAUCUACAGUGGAAGGUUUGGAUAAGUAACCAUUUGGGCAAUCCAUGGAGAGGACAUUUUGAUAUGUAUCCUUUAAAACGCUUCCAUGCUUCUGGAAUGGUUUCUGUCUUCUGUUGUUGAAAGCCGAUGAUCUUUCUUCUUAAGGCAACUAAUUUGGUAAAUUUGCCUAUGGGGAAGAACUUUUCUAUAAAAGCCUUUGAACAGUUCGUCCAAGUAUUGAUAUCUUCUUUGUUGGUGUAGAACCACUUCUUUGCUCUUCCUUCAAGUGAGAAUGGAAAGAGACGAAACCGUAUGGUAUCUUGGUUGACUCCGUCGACUUUGAUUAUGCUUGUAAUCUCUAAGAAAUUCUGCAAGUGUAUCUUAGCAUCUUCAUGUGCCUUUCCACUGAAUUGUGUAACUUGUACCAAAUUGAUGAGGCUAGGCUUGGUUGGACGUUCAAGAUUUCCUUCUUUUGCUUCAUGUCCUAGACUAGUGCAAAUGUCUUCAAUGCUUAGUAGAAAAUUCUUGCAGAGUCUCUUGUGCCAUAACUUCAACGAUUGGUAGCUAGCUUCUUCUUUCUUUUUUGAUUGCUUUGGUUGUGAUGAUGAAGAGUUGAAUGUACCAAAGUCAAUCCUGAUAUACCCUAUAUAAAAAUAUAAACAUAGAAAAACAACAGGGUGAACCUGCCAAAGCAGAGGUGCCUUGUUAUGAUUUCUCACUUAGUAGCUGUUUUUAUGCAAUUAUUUCUCCAUAGUCUAGUCUAAUAUUUCAUGUGAAUAACCUUGACUGACUUCAUGACUUUCCUUACCGUUCCCCGACAACGGCGCUAGAAAUGCUUGUUGACACUUACUAACACCACUUGGAUACUACGUUGUCAUCCCCAGCAUGAUGUGAGAGUGUACAAAGGUAUUUAUGAAUGUAAAGGCUCUCUAGAAAAUAAUCUAUUCUAUCCGCAAGCCCACAGAUAAAAUACCUCAUUGUAGCAUUUCACCAGGAAAAGUAUUCCGGGUAUCGUUAUUUAUAUUUUGCUUAAGAGAACGAUGGAGGUAAAUAAAAUCUAUCAAGGCGUAGACUAGAGAUAAACUUGCAAGAACAUGAUUAAUAAUGAGAAACUCGUCACACAGUCACUUGCUUUGGCAGGGGGUAAGCCAUAAUAAUAAUGAUAAUGAAAUAUAAGCUCAUGGGUAAAUAACACAGCGAUUAGAAAAUAGACUACUCCUCAUAUAUGUAAGGUGACGUCGGAUUAGCUAGAGAAUGGAUUUUGAGUUAUCUACUACCUACUAAGUCACAAUCUACUCUAGUUAUCUACAAGAUCAUAUAUAGCAUAAAAGACUCUUCAUUCAUGUAUAAGGAACAUUGCUAAAGUAAAUCAGAACAUCGCAAGACUUACUCCGCAAUACAAAUUCUGCCUGUCCUAUCAACGGAGGGUGGACUAUAUAAGAAUCAACGAAGCUGUCACCAUCGCGAACUACCACACGACCCGGCCAAUAGGAUACAUUUGCAGGUAAAUAACAUCUAAGCACCACGCCUACAUGUGAUCUACCACUUAACUCCCACAUGUCAAGAGCUAAGCGCUUUGCAAACUUAUACAUAAACUCAUUAUCAAUCAUAAAUAUAUCAAAUAUAGAACUAGAGCAAACUAAGAACAUAAUAAAUAGAGACAUAAUGCAAUUAGAAUAAAGUAGUAGAGAAAGAUAUAAAAUAAUACCAAUCUUUAUUGAUGAAGAUCCGAAUCCAAAGCGCUAGGCUCUACUUCUCUAAUUCUAUCUAAUCAAUCCUAUAGAACUUGAAGGAACUAGGAGUAGCUAAUUCUAAUUCUCUAUGGGAGAGAAAUUCCUAAACCCUAACUUUGAUGGCUUCCUCUGAUAAUGAUUUCUCCUCUCUCCCUGGGGUGGAGAGGCCUUGCUUAUAUAGUCCCUUCAAGUGAAUUUGGGCCGUCGGAUCAAAUCGACAUUGAUCGCACGGUUUUCUUUGAUCCUUUAGGUCGGUGGAGCAUAAUCCGCGAGGUUGGUUGUGAUUGGCCCCGAGGCCAGGGCGGGCGCCCAAGGGGGGAGGGCAGGCGCCCUGCCCCCGAGCCCGUCCGGCUUCCCGUUCGUUCUCAUGGCUUCUGGACUCUUCUAGAUUAAGGAAAAUUACGCGGCAUGUAAUUAUCUCGUUGUAAACAUGACAUGUGGGCCUUCUCUCUAUAUUUUCUAAUAACCCCCUACAGAAAUAGACAAACACCAAAACUCGUGGAAUUCUGUCAGAUAAAACCCUAAGUCUGGUUGUCGGUUGCAUUUGGAUCCUUUUCUUUGUUUAUUUGUUGAUUAUAUUUGAUACUUAAGGACCGUCAACAAUAGGAUGCUUGACUAGGGCACUUAGGUCCUACCAAACCUUCUAAUAGGAGGAGGCCCCAAAGGUAACAAUGGGAUUGUCACGUCCCAUGCUACUACACAUCGAUCCGACCAGGCAGGGGAUAUCUACGAGUAUUCUAGCCCAAGCACCAUGCUUACGCUACGAAUGAUUACUCUAUUCCCUAUGCAAAGCAAAUAAAGUAAACUCAUAAAGCAAAGAACAAUAAUAAUAACAUAUUUACUUAGUAUUAGAACUUUAAUUGCCAAAAAUUCCUAGAACCAAGCCUUAGGUUAGGAGACUUAAUCCCACAGGUACAAGCCGGUGAGGAGACACCAACAUGUCAGAAUUCCUCCGAACUCUCCCUCCACUCUAACUCUCUUAAUCUAGAAGAAUAACUCUAAUCUCACAUAGAGACUACAAAGUUAAUCUCUCUUGUAUGUGCCCUAGGAGAAAGAUCCAUUCAAGGGACCCCUCUAAGGCAAAUUCUCUCUAAAAAUAUGUAUUAGGGUUUCUCCAUUCCUCUGAUACAAGGGCUAGGGGCCUUGCUUAUAUAGCUCUCUAGGAAGCAUGACAGCCCUGAGAUCAAACUAACCUUGAUCUAUGAUUAUUAUUGAUCCUUAAAGAUGGUGGAGGCUGGAUCUAGGAGCUUGCUUCUGAUUGGCUCUAGAGGUGAGGAGGCCGCCUAGGGCAGGGACUCCCGCGCUGUCACAGUGAUAGGUGGGUCCCACCUUCUAGGGGGUGGCUUCUUGAGUUUUCUAGAUUAUUCUUUUAUUGUAUGUGGUCUUUUCUCUCUAUGUAAACCUGACAUGUUGACCAUCUUAGGUUGUUUUCAGCUGACACCCUACAAAAAUAGAUAUUCACCAAAACUCAUGAAAUUCUGACUGUUAAACCCCUAGUAUAUGGCGAUAAUUAUUUUUAUAACAUUCUUUUGAUUAAGUUGAUGAUUUAAAAUUGAUAGUUAACUACAGUCAAUAAUAAGGAGGAUGCUCAUGAAGCUGAUGGAGGUAAAGGUCGUGACAAGCUGAAGAAUAGAAGGCUGAAGCUUAGCUUCAAAGAACUUCUAGCUAAAUAUAAGAAGAUAGCUAAAGCAAAUGUCACUAAUCGGUCCAAGAAAGUCCAAUCAUCAAAGUUGCCUCCAAAGGACAAUUAUCAAGAGUGGAGUUAGCAAGGAGAUAGAUCUCACACAACAACAACAUAUUCUCCUUUUAAGUGGCUAAUUCCCAAGUCAUAUGUACCACAAACAUCGGGAGUUCUCACCCAAGUCGAGAGUUCUCACACGAGUCAAGAGUUUUGACCCACGUCGAAAGUUUCAACAAAUGUCAGGAGUUCUGACCCGAGUCCAGAGUUCCAAUUCGACUUCCGACAGACCUAAUAAUUGUUUGGAUCUAACCUUUGGGAUUCUAAUCUGAACUAUCCAAACUCAUGGGAAACUUGGAAAAUAAGACUCAAAGAGGUUUCCUACUAGGAUAAGACCACCCCCUCUAUGUAUAUGAGAGGAUCAUGGCCGAUUAAGUUCCCAUCUAUCCAAUCAUCAAAACACAAACCAUCUACUUACCCCUUUACUUUCUUCUCCAAACUCCAUGCUAUUCAUCCCUUGAUCCGAUGACCAAGGAUGGUGCCCUAGGCUUGUCGGCCAACUUAAGGCAACCCAUCGAUGUCCUUGCCCUGAUAGGGUCCCUCCUGGAUGAGAGCUUCAGCGAUUUCAUUACUAGAUGGCCUGAAAACUAGCUGGUUAUUUGUCAUGCAAGUACUUUGGUUGUCCUUUAGUGGUUUGCUUAUAAACCUCUCCAUGCUUCACCAUGUAAGAGUGAUAUCUUCGCUGCAUUCUUCAGUCCAUAGCAGCCCAAGUGUCCAAUGCUCUUGCUGCUGUGUGAUUCAGACCAUAUCUGACGUCAACAAUUUCAUUGACAUUUUAUUAUAUUUUAGUUGAGGUGGCAUUCUUAGAAACAAUACUAUGAAGCUUCCCAUUGAGACUGAUCUAAGUAUAAAAGUUUUAUGUGCUAGAAGAUGAAUAAGACACAAAAGAAGGUGGGGUAAGUGUUUGGGCCAUGUUAUGGGCUACUGCCAUCUUCACGUUUUGGGCUAGUGGAAAACAUCCUAUGUUGGGCCAAGUAAUGUGAAUGGACCUGAGUGACAAGUAGGGCAAGAUGUGUAGAUGGCAUGUGUGUCAAGUAGGUAUAAAACUCUCUAGCGAUGUGUUGAUGAAGGCAUCGAACAAAACCUAUAACUAAAUCCCAACAAACUCGCCUAAAUUCCCCACAACUAUUAUUCUUGUUGUUCCUCAAUCCUUCCAUUCUCCAACCCUAGAUUCCAAUUUCUCAUAGCCCUUGUUCUCUAGUUAUCGGUUACAUUACAAUUUGUACUCGAAGCAAGGUUGCAGCAGAAUAGAUUUUCUUGCUGCAUUUCUCGGAGAUCUAGCACUAAAGGUAUCCAAAUUUUAGCAAAACAUGGUGAUGACGAUCAAAGGGGUGGAUUCCAAGGUGGAGAAAUUGAUGAAAUAGCUUGAGAGGUUCCAAUCGAUGAUGGAGGAGAUGUUAGACAAGUUGAGCAGGAUAAAGACAUGGCGUGAUGCCGACAACUCAUUCGGGACUGCUCCAAUGAACUUUGGUGACCUCCAUCAACUUAGGAUUGGAGGUGGUGUGGCUAGAGCAUUCGAAGGCAUGUCCACCACUCAUCACCAACACAGAUAGCACAACCCUGUGCUAGACUUGAACAUUGCUCUAGAGCCGAUGCGCCCAUCUAUGUCAAGUGGGGAGCAGCCCAGCGGGCAUUGUGAGUUGGGUGGGGGAACUAGGAGCCUCCUCUGUACCUACCCACCACCAAUCUUUUAGGGUAUGAUGCAUGAAUCUCCUCAGUCUUCUUGUCAUAUGCAUGAUGCUUCUGUGACUUAUUUGCCACGCUCUGCACCAUAUCCUAAAUUGUAGUUUCUCAAAUUUUUAGUGAAAAUCUAAGGUGGUGGCUUGAUUAGUGUGAAAUGUACUUUGAAGUCUAUGUUGUUCACCCUACGAUGAGGACCAGAUUUGCUAUCCUCAAUUUCAUCAAACCUGCAACUACCUGGAUGGAGAUGAUUGAGCGUUGUGGUCAUGUUACUGAUUGGGACAAACUUUGUGAGUUGAUCUUUGUCAAGUUUUUUAAAGAUCAGUUCCCUUGCUCUUGAAGCAUUUUGAUGCAUUGAAGUAGGAGGGUUUAGUUAUUAAUUAUCAACAUCGUUUCAAGGAGUUUGGCUCAUGGUAUUUUGCUAUUCAAUCCUAUGUAUGAUGAUACAUACAUGGUCACUCAAUUUCUUGGUGUAUUGAAGGAAGAGAUUCGAGCAGCUAUGACAAUGCAUCGACCCAAGGAUGUUGAUAUUGCUAGCACUUUCACAUAGUUGCAGGAAGAAGAGCUAGAGAACUCCAAGAAGAAAUACAGUCCAAAAGAGACAACCAGGCAAGCUUUUAGAUCAUACAAUGCUAGAGACAGAGCAAAGCCAGUGGAAUCUGAGAAAGUUAAGCCAAAAAUAAGGGAAUAUAAGCUAGGUUCUCUCAAGACCUAUUGAAGGCAGAAUGGGUUGUGCUUUAGAUGUGGUGAGAAAUGGGGUCUAGGACAUAAAUGUCCAACUUAGGUUCCCAUUCAUGUUGUGGAAGAGUUGUUGGAUGCUUUGGAAGUUUGUGAUGAUUCUGAAGAAGCUACUCUAUAGGAAACUGUGGAAACUGAGUGUGUUAUGGCUUUGGGUGACAAUGUUGUUCCAAACACAAGUAAAAGAAAUAAUUAGACUCAGUGGAUACAUUGGGAAUAUGCAAGUGUUGAUACAGGUGGACUCAAGAAGUGUGGGUUCUUUUAUUAGUUUUGCAAUAGCUAACAAACUCAAGACUUAGUUGAAAGGAUGGGAUCACCUAUGACAUGUUCUCAGGGUAUUUCAAAGAUGGCUUGGUGCACUAAGGGACACUUUUCAUACUGAUGUGGGAGUGUUACCUCAAAAAUGUUAUGACAUGAUAUUGGGGGAAGACUAGCUAGAGCAUUGUAGUCCCAUAUCGGUACAUUGGACCAAAAAGAUAAUUAUAUUUAUGCACAAUGGUACCAGCAUUACCUUGAGAGGUGUCAGACCUGAAAUCAACAAAUGUACUACAAUCAGUGUUGGCAAGCUACCUUGAUUAGGAGGAAGGCAAUCACACACUAUGUUUAGUUACUACCUUCAACCUUAGAAAGACCAUCUAUAUAAUCAUCACAUCAACUUGUAUGCUCUAUGAAUAAUAUGGAGGAGCUUCAGUCUGAUAUACCUGAGGAAAUGAGGAGUCUAUUAUCUCAAUAUGAGGAUAUUUUCAAGGAACCUGCUAAGUUACCACCCAAAAGGUCAUGUGAUCAUCAGAUCACCCUGGUUCUAGGAGCUCAACCUAUGAAUGUGAGGCCAUAUAGGUAUGAUCCUGUUUAGAAAUCAGAAAUAGAGAUAGAUUGCUAAAAUGCUGAAGAAUGGAAUCAUAAAGCUAAGCACUGGUCCAUAUGCUUCACUAGUUCUUUUACUAUGAAUACAUUGUUUGCUUCUUUACUAAGGAAGGGAAUAUUGAUAUUCAUGGAUGAUAUAUUGAUCUACUUUAAGACAUUAGAAGAACAUUAUGCCUUGCUAAAACAAGUGUUUGACAUUAUAAGAAACAACAAAUUCUUUGUGAAGCUCAGUAAAUGUUCUUUUAUCAAGAACUAAAUUGAGUACUUAGGGCAUGAUUAAUUGCCCCGACGGGACGGUGCAAAGGCCCAUCCAACUCCAUUUUAUGCACUUGGCGCGUGUUUGAUUGCUCAUGUCGCAUGGUUUGCCUGUGCCCUAUCGUUCAUUUCCCCUCCACCAUCCUAGCCUCUUCCAUCUUUCUGAUGCGACCUUCGCUCACAAGCCUGGAUGGUGUGGUGCUUGGCAGGAACCCUAGGCUUAUUUAGCAAGAGACGGCUCCAUCCCAUGAUAAAAGCACGCACGCGGGUUGGAGUUAGGGUUACCGCCCCCAUUACUCCACUCCUCUUGUGCGCCCUCCCUUCUUCCCUCUUGCUACCGGUUUCUCGCUGGUGUCUUCCACCUUUGGCAGACCCUUGUUGGUUCUUUGGUGCCUUAGCUAGUAUACAUCGCCUUACCCCUCUUUCUCUCCCUUUGUUUUGUACCAUGUUUUUGUUUUUGCCGUGCAAUUUUGGUUAGGGUUCAUGUUGGUACCCUCCUAGAUCUGUGCAUUUUUGAUGUAGAUCUAGCAGUUUCAUGAGUAGAUCUGGUGGUUUCAUUUGUAAAGCUAUGAAUCUUUAAUGCUAUUAUGCUAUCUACUUUAGAUGUUAUUGAUAAUGAUGCUUAUUUUGAUUACCAAACUAAGCUUAGUGCCUAGGUUGAUGAUUAUGUAGUACAUAUGCUAGAUUAGGUGCCGGAGGAGCACCUUUUGGUGUGGUAGCCACAUCUUCCUUUGUCAAAGUUUACUGAUUCUUUGCAAAUAUUUUUUAGUUCACAACAUUAUUCCCUUUCUAAUUAGACGAUACAUAUGUACUUCCUAUUCUUAGAAAUUGACUUCCAAGCUAGACAUUGAGCAGUGGCAUGUUGGUUUUUUCAUGUGGUUUAGGAGAAGAGUUGUAGAUGCCUGGUUAGUUACCUAUGGCCCCUUGACAGAGAGGGACCAAUGGAAGAUUAACAACCUUAACUACAUCUACAAUUUAGAUGAUGUUCAUUGUGUUAAUCUGCUUAGGACAAGAAGGUCACCUUUUUUCUAGUUGUGUGAUCUUUUUCGCACUACAACGCUGGUAACAGACAACAUACAUGCUACUAUUGAAGAACAAGUAGCAAUGUUUUUGUAUGUUGUUGGCCACAAUGAGAGGUUCAGAGUUGUAGACCUCACAAUCUAGAGAUUAGUUGAUACCAUCGGCAGGUUCUUUCAGAGAAUGUUGUAUGCAGUAGGGGAGUUGAUGAAUGAAUUGAUUGUUCCUCCUAGUACUAAUGUUCAUCCUAGGAUUCUUGGGAGCAGAAGCUGGUAACCCUACUUCAAGGUUGGUAUUCCCUUCAUUCCAUUGGUGGUCAUUGUUGACACUAGCUAACACCACUUAGAUACUAGGUUGUCAUCCCCAGCAUGGUGCCAGAGUGUACAAAGGUAUUUAUAAAUGUAAAGGGCUCUCUAGAAAAUAAUCUAUUCUAUCCGCAAGCGCACAGAUAAAACACCUCAUUGUAGCAUUUCACCAGGAUAAGUAUUCCAGGUAUCGUUAUUUAUAAUUUUGCUCAAGGGAUCUAAAGAAGAUGAAAUUAAAUCAAGGGGCAAAAUCUAUCAAGGCAUAGACUAGAGAUAAACUUGCAAGAACAUGAUUACUAAUGAGAAACUCGUCACACAGUCACUUACUUUUAGCAGGGGGUAAACCAUAAAGAUAAUGAUAAUAAAGUAUAAGUUCAUGGGUAGAUGACACAGCGAUUAGAAAAUAGACUACUCCUCAUAUAUGUAGGUGAUGUCAGAUUAGCUAGAGAAUGGAUUCUAAGUUAUCUACUAACUACUAAGUCAUAAUCUACUCUAGUUAUCUACAAGAUCAUAUAUAGCAUAAAAGACUCUUCAUUCAUGUAUAAGGAACAUUGAUAAAGUAAAUCAGAGCAUCGCAUGACUUACUCCACAAUACCGGUUCUGCCUGUCCUAUCAACGGAGGGUGGACUAUAUAAGAAUCAACGAAGCUGUCACUAUCGCGAACUACCACACGACCCGGCCAAUAGGAUACAUUUGCAGAUAAAUAACAUCUAAGCACCACGCUCACAUGUGAUCUAUCACCUAACUCCCUCGCGUCAAGAGCUAAGCGCUUUGCAAACUUAUACAUAAACUCAUUAUCAAUUAGAACUAUAUCAAAUAUAGAACUAGAGCAAACUAAGAACAUAAUAAUUAGAGACAUAAUGCAAUUAGAACAAAGAAUUAGAGAAAGAUAUGAAUAAUACCAAUCUUUAUUACCGAAGAUCCGAAUCCAGAGCGUAGUGCUCUACUUCUCUAAUUGCUAUCUAAUCAAACCUCUAAACUUGAAGGAUUAGGGAGUAGCUAAUUCUAAUUCUCUGUGGGAGAGAAGCUCUAAACCCUAACUUUGAUGGCUACCACUGAAUAAUGAUUUCUUCUCUUCUCCUCCCUCCAGGGGGGGUUUGGCCUUGGUUUUAUAGUCCCCUCAAGUGAACGUGAGCCAUUGGAUCAAACCGACAUAGAUUGUAUGGUUUAGAUUGAUCCUUUAGGUCGGUGGAGCGUAGUCCUGAAGCAGAGUCCCGAUUGGGUUCCAACCCUGGGCGGGCGCCCAAGGGGGGUGGGCGGCCGCCCUGCCCCCGAGCCCGAUCGUGCUCUCGUUCGUUCCCAUGGCUUCUGGAUUCUUCUAGAUUGAGGAAAAUUGCGCGGCACGUAAUUAUCUCGUUGUAAACAUGACAUGUGGGCCUUCUCUCCAUAUUCUCUAAUAACCCCCUGCAGAAAUAGAUAAACACCAAAGCUCGUGGAAUUCUGUCAGAUAAAACCCUAAUUCUAGAUGUUUGUUUCAUAUUGAUCCUUUUUCAUGUUUAUUUGAUUAUUAAUUUUAGUACUUAAGGACCGUCAACAGUCAUCACUAAUUAAUUGACCUUUUAGUUAUCUAUUUCACAAGCUACUUUUUUAUUAUUACCUAGGACUACAUUGGAGGAACUGAUGGAACAUAUGCCCUAGCUAGAGUGCCUAAGCGGAUGCAAGCUUACUUUAGAGGUAGGAAGCACACCAUCACAUAGAAUGUACUAGUAGUAGUGGACUUUGAUUUGAGGUUACACUUAUGUGCUAGCUGGUUGGGAAGGGUCUGCACAUGAUGCCCUUAUUUUGACUGAUGCCAUAGAGAGACAUGAUGGCUUUAGAGUCCCUCCUGAUGUGAACCCGUUAGGGUUUUUGCCUGAUCUUUUGAUGAGAGGUGUGGGAUAACUUGAUUGGUGAAUGGAGAUAAUGUUCACGGCCUGACUACAGCCUUCCAAGAUCACACCUUAGCUACCAAUACACACCCCAAAUGGCUGUCAUGAUCUCGUGGAGCAGGACACCCGCCCAUUAGGGCACUCAUCCUACAAGUAAUCGAAGAACCAGCAAGAACAAGUAGAACAAGUACUAAACUACUAGAUGUGAAUGAAGGUUUCAAUCUCAAUAUGUAAUAAAGUAGGGUUCUAAAGAUAAGAUGACGGGUGACUAAUCUAGCACGCAUGCUUACAAGUAGAAAAAGCUAAACUUAAUCUAGACAAAACCCAAACUAUUCAUGGUGGCUCUAGAGGCAAAUAAGUAGAGGGGAGGACGACCAGAGGGGUGCUAGAGUCGUCCUCCAUCCCUAGGACAUGUCCCUAAUGGACUCAACUUGAUACAUAGGCCAUUGGCCCAAAAUAGGGUGAUGCAGCACCAUAAGCAGGAAAUGCUUUGACAAUAAAAUAAGGACUGCACCCAAAUCAGAAGAGAUAUGAACAUGUGGUUGGACCCAUUGGAAAGUAGACUAUACAUAAGCUUUCCAUCAAGUAUAAGAACGUCCCAAUUGACAUCCAUAUGAAGCCGUGGUGCCAGACAAGUUGGGGUUGUUCUGCAGUCCAAAUCUAACUCCUAAAACAUGUUAGGUUUGGACUCUUGCUUUUCAUGCUCUAGGAACAACGUGGUAGCCUAAUGGAGGACAUUAUGGAAACUUGGAUUGAUCCUCAAUCACCUUUGUUAAGGUACCAUGCUUCCCACAUGCAAUCAGCUCUUGUGGAGUUGAUGUUGUCUCACAUUCUGAAUGCAGACAAACCUUCCCUUGUUGAUCCUCUCCAUCAUUCCUAAGCAAGACCAAAGUGCACGUGUCUCUAUUGUCUAAAUAUGAUGGACGAGAGUUUAAGAAUGAACUUACUUGAUGGUUGAAUUGAUGGGCACAGACAUGAGUAAGAGGGCCAAGUGGUAUCGGUGGUGGUGUAGGUGUGAAUGUAUAGAUGGUGUUGAUGUCCUCAUCACCUCCACGUAAAAUCCAAACCAUAUGUAGGCAUUGUUAGCCAUCUUCCAUAAUAUUAAAUCUAAACCAUAGCCCUGUCUUGACCUUUCUAAGAAUGAGGAGCUCUUUGGAAUGAGGAACUCCACAUGACAGUGCUAGAUGAGGAGCACCUUAAUGGCCACACUAAGGUUAGACAACCCCUAGUUCAAAGCACCUCCUUAUCAACAUAUGCUUACCUGUUUCUAAUAGUUCAAUGUCUUCACUAUAUAGGAUCACCCUAAUGAUGCUAAGUUCCUGAACACUCCAAUUGAGAAUUAUGUUCAGAUGGUGGCUAUUUUUUGUGGUAGUCAGGCCACUCGGAGAUAUGCUAUGGGUUCCAGUGAACCAUUGGGUACUUACUUGGGUCAAAUUGAUGUAGACAAUGGUGGAGAGGAUUCUAACUUGAGCAAGAUAGAAGUAUAGUCAGGUAAGGCAGUUGACGUUAAACCUAAAAGCUCAAAGGGAGCUGAGGAAAGGAGAGGGUUGGGAAGAGAAGGAAGUUGUCACAAGAGGGAGUUGAUCUUAUGAGUGGCAUGGUGAUGGUUGUGCAGUCUGUUGGGGAAUCUCUCAAGGCUCCACAGCACAAUGAGGUGCAUCAGGACCUAUAUGAAUGUGUCAUGGGUUGCCCUAAUUACGCACAAGAGGCGAUCAUGUUUGCUCUAGUGUACUUGCUCAAGAACAAGGCAGAGGGACUAUGCUUUGUUCAGAUGUCUAAGGCCCACAAGAUCCUCUAGCUUAGGACCUACCUAAGCACUGCCUACUUUGAGUAGAAGCAGAUGUAGUGAUCUCUCCAAUUUUGCAUAUAGCCAUGUUAACUAACCUAUGUUCCAUCUAAAUCUUUUGGGUACAAGCACUAACCAUUCAUUUGAGGUGCUAGGACUGGUUCUGUAUGUAGCCUGACAUUGGUUGCUGGUAUUUUUGUAUAGCAUAGGAGACAUGGUGAUGGAUGUGAGGCUUGUGUGGUGUGGACAAAAACACCUGGGAUGUGGUGUACUACUCACCACUUAUGAUACUGGGAAGGUACAAUGUGGUGUAGACAUUAACACAUGCUUAUGCUUUCUUUAUUAUGUUGGCUUCAAACAUCUCACAUGCUAUUAAGUAUACUAUAUGUUGGUGUUUCUAUUUGGCCUAUGAUGAAAUUUACACUAAUAUGAGGUGGCUCCUUUCUUUAUGCUCAUUUGUCUCACUAUUUUGUCAUGUCAUUCAUCAGAUCUGCAGGAAUCAUCCGCUGUUUAGCAACAUUUGGGUCAUACUCAAGUUGAUGGCAAACAGUGCAUGUUUGUUGAUGGUAGAUAAGUAUCAAUUUUAACCAUCAACUAAACACGAAAAAGGACCUAAAUUAAAUACCAUCUAGAUAUAGGGUUAUACUAAUAGAAUUCUAUGAGAUUUGGGGAAUGUCUAUUUCUAUAGGGUGUUAGCUGAAAAUAACCAAGGAAGGCCCACAUGGCAUGUUUACAUAGAGAUAAAUGGGAUCCGGGCAAUUUUUUUGUAAUCUAGAUGGUUUGAGAAGGCACUAGACCAAACGGGAGCCUGAAUCAGCUCGGUCAAUCAAGCUUCGCCUCGUGGAUCCUGCCUCCACUGCCUUUGAGGAUGAAUAAUAAUUGUCCAUUUAGAUUUGAUCUGAGGGUUGUGGUACAUCCUAAGGGGCUAUAUAAGCAGGGCCCUGUUGACACUUGCUAACACCACUUGAAUACUAGGUUGUCAUCCCCAGCAUGACACUAGAGUGUACUAUGGUAUUUAUACGCACACAGAUAAUCCGCAAGCGCACGGAUACCGUUGAAGCUUUUACCCGGUUAAAGGUUUUAUCGUAUCCACAGGGAAACGGGAGAACUAACUAUGCUCUAACUUAACCAAGAUAAAUAGAUAAGUGUAAAUAGGAAAGAUGGUAGAAUUGAAUAAGAACAAUAUUAAAGGUAAGAUAACAGUGAGUGAUAAUAUGGGAAUAGAGAAUAGAGCAAUUCUAGUAUAUGGGCGAUGGUAGCAGAAUAGAGAGAAUAACUAUGGUUUCUCUACUUCAAAGGGGUAUGUCUAUGUCUGGGACGAACCACGUGAUAAGAGUACACCACAAAGGAUGCUUAUCCUUAGGCCGAUAAACCCUACCCGUCCUGAGAACGAGAGGUGGAAUACAGAGGACCAACGUAACUGUCACCUACGCGGCCUACCACACGAUCCAGCUAGACAGGGGAUAUCCACAAGUAAUCUAGGUCUAAGCACCUCGCUUACACCUAUACUACAACUCUAACCUAGAGCGUCCUAUAGAUUAGAAUACUCAAAAGAGUUGUGAACCAGAACAUAAAUAAUUAGUAAUUGCAUAAUGAAUUAGAAGUAGAUUACCAGAGUCAUCCCAUGAGCAAGCUUGAUUAGAGCUUGAUCAUGACGAAGUACAACCGGAGGAAGAACCGACAGGCCGGCCUCUCCUCUAAUCCUUCUUCGCUCUCCAUCUUGCUACUAUCUAGAUCUACUCUAGUUUAGAGAAGAGAGGAGAGCUCUCAUCUCUAAACCCUAGCUUUUGCUCUGUCUAUGAAUAAUGAAUAAUGAUCAAGGGGUGCCUCCUCUAGGGGCCAGGGGGUCUGGUUAUAUAGUCUUUUCAGAUGAAUAUGGGCCGUCGGAUCAAACCGACAUUGAUCGUGUGGUUUUCCUUGAAGUAUUAGGUCGGUGGAGCAUGAUCCGCGAAGUUGAAGCUGAUUGGUUACUGUAGCUGGGCGGGCACCCAAGGGACUUGGGCGGGCGCCCUGCCCUCGGGCCCGAUCGGCCUCCCGUUCGUUCCCGUGGCUUCUGGAGUCUUCUAGAUGGUAGAAAAUUGCGCGGCACGUUAAUAUCUCUAUGUAAACCCGACGUGUGGGCCUUUCUUUCAUAUUUCCUGAUAACCCCCUGCAGAAAUAGACAAACACCAAAACUCAUGGAAUUAUGUCAGAUAAAACCCUAAGUCUAGAUGUUGAUUUCAUCUGGAUCCUUUUCUUUGUUUAUUUGAUAAUUAAAUUUGAUACUUAAGGACUGUCAACAAACUCCCCCAAGCUUACCUCUUGCUCGUCCCUGAGCAAGGAUAGACUCAGCAAUGGAUCAGAAGUUGUUGCAAUAUCUUAAAAAUUUGACGGUACACAUGCUUUUAAAUAAGAUCUCAUCUCUGAGUUAGAGUAAACUGUCAAGAACUAAAACUUACUUACUUUACCUUUCACCAUGGGACUUGUAACCGUCACUUCUGUCUUGAGUAGUUAAAAGAUAGAACAGUCUAGCCAAGUGCCAUGUCUCUUAUUCUUGAUCAGCUAUAGCUCUGGAGUUUUUGCAGAUUUUCAAAUAAAACUUAGAGAUUCCUUGUAUGACUCUCUAAAUCUCUCUUUUGUGGUAUUUCUGGAUCUUUACGAAGGCAGUGAUGGUAUAUGCCUUCUCUCAAGAUAUAUGGUAUUUGUGGUAUAAGGCAUAGUGACAUUGUCUUCUCUCUCACCCUACUCUAAUAAGUCUUUAAUAUCUGGAGCUCAUAGGUGGGAGACAGCUAAUACAUACUUACAAGAAAUUUAUUGCAUAGUCAAACCAUGGAUCCAGAGAAACAAGUCAAUAAGUCAAAUCAAGAUGUGCAUGUGUGGCGAAUGAAUGGUGUAUGGUGAUGAUGGUGAUAACAAUGGUGGAAGUCUAAUUCUACUUUUGCUCUUUUAAGGGGAUACAUACCUUCCUUGCUUUUUGAAACUUUAUGAGGAGAAUGAGAUGCUCUUCUUUUUCUUUCCUCUCAGGUGGGUAUCCUAUACCCCUAAUUCUACUGUCGGACACUUGUCCAUUUUUACCUCUCAUCUCACUUUUUCUUUCUUUCGAGGUUCCGGGCACUUGCCCCUUUUUAUUUCCUCGUUUAUUAUUUUUUUUCUCUCCUCUUUUUUUUAGAGCACUCGUCUCAUGAGAUAAUAUAGCAAGUGGUAGUAACAAGAUAACUUGAGCAUUUAUUUCACAAGGGAAAACAGAAAUAUUUUUGGCUAUUCUCUCCCGAAUUAGGAGUAGAAUAUUUUUAGGUGGUUCUGGAGAUGGACAUAGAUGGAUAUAUGUGGAUGGUACUUCCGGAGUAGAAGUAGCAUAUAUGAGUGAACGUGCAAGUGAAUCUUGAUUUAACCACAUGACAAGCUCCUAAGGGUCUACACAGCUUGACCACACUCAAUGCUCAUAAGCAGUAAAAAGUAAAUAUAUGGUUCAUAGUCUAAUAAGCAUGUAUACAUGGCUGUGGUAGGAAUUUAAACUCUCAUCAUACAGGAACUCAUCAUGCAAUAUUUUAAAGAUUUUUUCAAAGAUAAAAUUCUCCAGAAUUCUAGCAUCUUUAAGAACAGAUAAACAGCAGCUCAACCUUCCCAUAUCAUAUCCGUUAACAACUUAGAUUUCAGAUCAAGUUUUCAUCCCACAAGUUUAGAUCUAGAGCAAGCUUUCAAUUAUAACAGUUAUGUCUAAACUUGAGAGAGAACUUCAAAUUUAUAAAUUAGGCAGAGCAACUAUUCAUCAUAUCCAUGCUAGAGUUUUAUUAUUAAGAUUCAGAUUAGCAUAGCCACAUUAUUUAUUUAUUAAACACACUAAGC